rnacentral:rRNA from 1 species
UACAGAGGGGGCAAGCGUUGUUCGGAAUUACUGGGCGUAAAGUGCGCGUAGGCGGCCGCCUAAGUCAGACGUGAAAUCCCUCGGCUCAACCGGGGAACUGCGUCUGAUACUGGGUGGCUUGAAUCCGGGAGAGGGAUGCGGAAUUCCAGGUGUAGCGGUGAGAUGCGUAGAUAUGACAUAGAACACCAAUUGCGAAGGCAGCUUACUACAUAGUUAUUGACACUGAGGCACGAAAGCGUGGGGAUCAAACAGG